AGUGGCGAACGGGUGAGUAAUGUAUCGGAACGUGCCCAGUAGCGGGGGAUAACUACGCGAAAGCGUAGCUAAUACCGCAUACUAUUGGAGCGGCCGAUAUCGGAUUAGCUAGUUGGUGGGGUAACGGCUCACCAAGGCGACGAUCCGUAGCUGGUUUGAGAGGACGACCAGCCACACUGGGACUGAGACACGGCCCAGACUCCUACGGGAGGCAGCAGUGGGGAAUUUUGGACAAUGGGGGAAACCCUGAUCCAGCCAUCCCGCGUGUGCGAUGAAGGCCUUCGGGUUGUAAAGCACUUUUGGCAGGAAAGCGGUACCUGCAGAAUAAGCACCGGCUAACUACGUGCCAGCAGCCGCGGUAAUACGUAGGGUGCAAGCGUUAAUCGGAAUUACUGGGCGUAAAGCGUGCGCAGGCGGUUCGGAAAGAAAGGUGUGAAAUCCCAGAGCUUAACUUUGGAACUGCAUUUUUAACUACCGGGCUAGAGUGUGUCAGAGGGAGGUGGAAUUCCGCGUGUAGCAGUGAAAUGCGUAGAUAUGCGGAGGAACACCGAUGGC
rnacentral:rRNA from 1 species